rnacentral:tRNA from 1 species
CGUUAGAAAGCUACUCAGCAUUGGCCUUUUAAUCCAAAGAAAAUAUUACACUAUUUCUAACGA